GAUCAUGGCUCAGGAUGAACGCUGGCGGCGUGCCUAACACAUGCAAGUCGAACGAAGCAUAGUGGAAUGAGAUUCGUCGAAGGAAGCUAUGACUUAGUGGCGGACGGGUGAGUAAUGUAUGAGCAACCUGCCUUUCAGAGGGGGACAACAGUUGGAAACGACUGCUAAUACCGCAUAAUGUAUUUUAGAGGCAUCUCCGAAAUACCAAAGGAGCAAUCCGCUGAAAGAUGGGCUCAUAUCUGAUUAGUUAGUUGGCAGGGUAACGGCCUACCAAGACUGCGAUCAGUAGCCGGACUGAGAGGUUGAACGGCCACAUUGGGACUGAGAUACGGCCCAGACUCCUACGGGAGGCAGCAGUGGGGAAUAUUGGGCAAUGGGCGAAAGCCUCGACCCAGCAACGCCGCGUGAAGGAAGAAGGUCUUCGGAUUGUAAACUUCUUUUAUGAGGGACGAAGGACGUGACGGUACCUCAUGAAUAAGCCACGGCUAACUACGUGCCAGCCGCAGC
rnacentral:rRNA from 1 species